AGAGUUUGAUCCUGGCUCAGAAUGAACGUUGGCGGCGUGGAUUAGGCAUGCAAGUCGAGCGCGAUAUUUUUGAAAGAUACUUCGGUUGAUUUCUUAAAUGGAAAGCGGCGAAAGGGAGAGUAACGAGUAGAUACGUACCCAGGGGUCCGGGAUAGCCAUGCGAAAGCGUGAGUAAUACCGGAUAAUGUCUCCGGACCAAAUAUUUAUAGCCCUUGGAGCGGUCUGCUUACUAUUAGCUUGUUGGUGGGGUAAAGGCCUACCAAGGCGAAGAUGGUUAGCGGGUGUGAGAGCAUGGCCCGUCUCACUGGGACUGAGACACUGCCCAGACAUCUACGGAUGGCUGCAGUCGAGAAUCUUCCGCAAUGGACGAAAGUCUGACGGAGCGACGCCGCGUGAUGGACGAAGGCCCUCGGGUUGUAAACAUCUGUCGUAGGGGAGGAAAUUUUGACCGAUCCUAGGAGGAAGCACAGGCUAAGUUCGUGCCAGCAGCCGCGGUAAUACGAACUGUGCAAACGUUAUUCGGAAUCACUGGGCUUAAAGGGUGCGUAGGCGGGUUAGUAGGUCAGAUGUGAAAUCCCACGGCUCAACCGUGGAACUGCGUUUGAAACCACUAGUCUUGAGGGGAUCAGAGGAGAGCGGAACUGAUGGUGGAGCGGUGAAAUGCGUUGAUAUUAUCAGGAACACCGGUGGCGAAGGCGGCUCUCUGGGAUCUUUCUGACGCUGAGGCACGAAAGCUAGGGGAGCGAACGGGAUUAGAUACCCCGGUAGUCCUAGCUGUAAACGAUCUGUACUAGUCCGUGGGGACCCCCACAUCUUCUCGGACGUAGCGAAAGCGUUAAGUACAGCGCCUGGGG
rnacentral:rRNA from 1 species